CAACUCCCAAACCCAAUGUGAACGUUACCAAACUGUUGCCUCGGCGGGAUCUCUGCCCCGGGUGCGUCGCAGCCCCGGACCAAGGCGCCCGCCGGAGGACCAACCAAAACUCUUUUGUAUACCCCCUCGCGGGUUUUUAUAUAUGAGCCAUCUCGGCGCCUCUCGUAGGCGUUUGGAAAAUGAAUCAAAACUUUCAACAACGGAUCUCUUGGUUCUGGCAUCGAUGAAGAACGCAGCGAAAUGCGAUAAGUAAUGUGAAUUGCAGAAUUCAGUGAAUCAUCGAAUCUUUGAACGCACAUUGCGCCCGCCAGUAUUCUGGCGGGCAUGCCUGUCCGAGCGUCAUUUCAACCCUCGAACCCCUCCGGGGGGUCGGCGUUGGGGAUCGGCCCUUUACGGGGCCGGCCCCGAAAUACAGUGGCGGUCUCGCCGCAGCCUCUCCUGCGCAGUAGUUUGC
rnacentral:misc_RNA from 2 species